CCUACGGGAGGCUGCAGUGAGGAAUAUUGGUCAAUGGGCGCGAGCCUGAACCAGCCAAGUAGCGUGAAGGAUGACUGCCCUACGGGUUGUAAACUUCUUUUAUAAAGGAAUAAAGUGAGGCACGUGUGCCUUUAUGUAUGUACUUUAUGUAUAAGGAACGGCCAACUCCGUGCCAGCAGCCGCGGUAAUACGGAGGAUCCGAGCGUUAUCCGGAUUUAUUGGGUUUAAAGGGAGCGUAGAUGGGUUGGUAAGUCAGUUGUGAAAGUUUGCGGCUCAACCGUAGAAUUGCAGUUGAAACUGGCAGUCUUGAGUGCAGUUGAGGUAGGCGGAAUUCGUGGUGUAGCGGUGAAAUGCUUAGAUAUCACGAAGAACUCCGAUUGCGAAGGCAGCUUACUAAACUGCCACUGACAUUGAGGCUCGAAAGUGUGGGUAUCAAACAGGAUUAGAUACCCCUGUAGUC
rnacentral:rRNA from 1 species